AGCUCCAAUAGCGUAUAUUAAAGUUGUUGCAGUUAAAAGCUCGUAGUUGGAGUUCAGAGUUAGCUCAGCCGGUCGGCCUAAUGGGUCAGAACUGGUUGACUCUCUCUUGUUUGUGGAUCCCUUCGGAGUUAACUCUUCGGAUGUGGAGUCCACAUCGUUUACCUUGAAAAAAUUAGAGUGUUCAAAGCAGGCGUUUGCUUGAAUAUAUUAGCAUGGAAUAAUGGAAUAGGACGCUGGUUCUAUUUUGUGUUUGUAG
rnacentral:rRNA from 1 species